AAUCAUCAACUCUUAUUUCUUUUUCAGAGAUGAGAGCUUGGACUUGGAGGUCUUUGCUGGCUUUUUGAGCCGGCUCCUCUUGAAUGCAUUAGCUUGAACCUUUGCUGUAUCGGCCUCGGUGUGAUAAUUGUCUACGCCGUGGCUGUGAGGCUUACUUUAACUGGGCUCAGCUUCCAACCGUCUGCUUGCGGACAACAUCUUAUUGAC
rnacentral:misc_RNA from 1 species